AUAAAGUUUCCAAACUGACCAAAGACCAACGAAUGACUUCUGAAGAAGGGUGGAUUUAUUUGUAGUUUAGUUAAACAAUAAUUUGCCCCGUCAGUGAUAUGGUUUGAAUGCUGCCUGAACGUUCCGAAUUUGGCAGACACGGUGAGGACAUUGCUGAGGAAAAUUGCCACAAACAAAGUCCUGGAGCAGCUUGGCCUCCGUGGAAAGUCAGGAAAAGUGGCGUUUGAGGACUUGCCCCUUUACAGAAUAAUAAAUAAGGCAUGCAGGGGUGUUUACAAGCAGACGACCACAGCUGAAGUGGAUUGUGAGCUUGGAGAGGUCCUGAAACUGGCCACUUUUCGAAAGGGAGGUUCAAAAUUUGAGGAGAAGAGGAGGAAUUAAGAGGGAGGACAAAAAAGGAAAAAGAAACAAGCAAAAGAACAGAGUGAGAUGAGAGGAUUUGGGUUUCCCUGCUUGGGCGGCUGCCCCCGCGACCCGACCUCGGAUAAGCAGAAGAA